rnacentral:lncRNA from 1 species
AAGAGCGAGAGAGAGGGAAAUAGGGAAGGAGGGAAGAAUAAGAAGAAGGAGAAGAUGGUAGGUGUGGUGGCAUGCCCAAAUCAUUCCCCAUCUGCGACAAAGCAAGAAUUGGGAGAGAGGAAGAGGAGCUGCGUGCGACGGAGUAACACCAAGGAAGGAGAUCAGAGCACGGACCAAAGUGCAAAUUUAUGUAUCCACAACAUUUUUUGGCGUGAUUUCACUUGAUCUACAUCAGAUCUAAGUGUGCGGUGCAUUCUGCAAUGU